rnacentral:lncRNA from 1 species
AAAUUUAGGACCAUGAGAAUCCUGCUGCAGGACUGGCUGCCAUGCAUCUUCUGUGGGCCUUCAUCUGUUGAUGGAGGAGAAAAUGGAUAAUGAUGAAGCCCACAGAUUUCACUCCAGAACUGACUUUGCUGCAGAGGAGCGAGGAGAGCUGCCUGGCAACACAACGCAUCGCUGUGCAUAAACUUUGUUUACAGCCAAGGCUGGAGUAAAGGAACAGAUGGCAAGAAAAUCGGAUUUAAAGAAAGGAAGGAUGUGCCUGCAUCUGGGAGCUCGGCAAAACCGUUUGAAGCAGCUGCCCCUCACACUAUAUGAAAUAGCUAUUACCAAGGCUCACAGUAAAGCUGCCCAAGGCUUGCUUACCCCGCCCUCCAGAAGGAAAGUGCAAGUUACUCUUCAGCUGUGGGGCUAACCAAGGAAGGUGAAAUGACCAGCUGCCUUGCAGAAAAUUCUCUGGAGUGACUGGGAUCUAAAGCAAUAAUAUGCAAAUCCAUAAAGACACUAUAUCCUUUCACUGAUUAAUGGGGUACAAGAAUCUGUGAGAUUUAUAAUCCAAGCAGUUUUAACAACAGC